CGGUUGUAGAGACUAGCAAACCAUCUCGUUUUCUUUGUCCUCAGUAGGGUCAGUGUAACUUCAUUGUAAUUAGAAUUUUUUGAGCUUGCUGAUUUUAAAAACUUGUUGGUUUAACACAAGAUGUUAUUUUUUGACUAAGCUGCGAAGCUGCUCUGUUGGGGGCGAUAUCAGAUAGGAGUGUGACAUUGAUCUAUUAGGCUACUUAUGGAUGGAGGGCAGCGUUGGAAGACUGCUGCCCAAUGCGUUGAAGUGAUGGAGCUCGGCAGAGGCGGAGUCUGAACCGCUGCACAUUUGAUCAAAUGUAGAGGCACGACUCGUGUAAUUCCUGCAUUGCCCUUUCAGCAGCACGAGCACACUUCAAAACUAAAGUGGACAGCGCGCUGAAACCCUCCAGUUCGUUACAGCUUGUACCCCAGCUCUGUGCGAAUCAUGGAUGAGGACUUUGAUUUUGAGCAUCGCAGAGAGUUACGGAGACAAAAGCGAGAAGAGAUGCAGCGGGAGGCAGAGAAGAUGAACUCUCACGAUGAUGAUGAGGAAGCGGCCCGGGAGCGCCGGAGACGAGCUCGUCAGGAACGCCUGCGCAAUAUGGAGAAUGAGGAGUCGAAUAACACCAUAACAGAAACUAACACGUAGAUCCAUCCAAAAACAGUUUUCUCAUGCAUUUUGCA
rnacentral:lncRNA from 1 species